AUCAAAUCAUUCUACAAAAUUUUCUUCUUUCUCUAGUUAAAUUAUUUUAAAAUUUUCUCUUGGAUCUGAAUGGCACUGUGCCCUUCUAAGUGCUCUUCUCCUUUUUUCACAUUAAUGAUUGUGGGUUUUCUUUCAUUCAUUCUCAGAUGAGGAGAGUUCUAUCCAAAUCCGGUGUUUAUCAUGAGAUGCUGAGUUGUAUAUCUAACUUUUCCCCUGAGUCUAGCACAUUCAAAUGCUGUCCUAUACCCAGCUGUAGAUGUAGUCAGUACUUUGAAGUUCAAGAUUUCUAUCACCACCACUGUGUCUACAAUAUAUUCAGUGAGUGGAGGUUAUCCUGACCUGACACGAACUCAUACAGACUUGUUGCCCAACACUGUGUACAGAUGGAACACAUAUUAAAUUACAAUCCUUGGUACGUAUUAUAUUUUCAAGCUUCAUUCUAGCCCUUCAUCCACUAUCCUCCCCGCUUCCUAGCAUUUACUGAGGAUGCUAUAGCUGCUAGGUAUAGUCUACCAGAACUCUGCUUUAAAAAAACAAAAACAAAAACAAAAAAAACCCCAGCAACUUUAUAGUUGUUUUGGUUGGCAUUGACCUUGUGUUUCUGAACCAGGAAAUAGAGUGUGAGGAGAGAGAUGAAAGGUGUUUCUGACAACUUUCAAGAAAGCAGGAUUGCUUCUUUUCUAAAUUAUAACAAGAAAGGGCUAUCAAUUGUUUGUUGCAGUACAGUUUCAUCAGCUUUAAUGGUACUGAAAGUUUCGUCCAGAUUUUGGCAACAGGAUGACAGUGAGCUAUCGUUUUCAAGAUUAUUAUGUUUUUUAGUUUUUCUGUAUCUCAGAUAUUUUAGUAGAAUCCAGUUAAACUGUGAGUCAGAAUCUCAUUUUUUUUAAAAUUCCAUUUGUCACAUUUGAAAGUAUUUAAUCACCCGUGAUGGUUUAAUUUAUUCCUGUUUUUGUUUUCAUCCUAUUUUUCAUAUAUAAUACCCUUCUCAGAAAUAUUUAAAAGUUAGAAGUAUAUGAAACACAUGUAGAAUCUAGACAGAGAACAGAGAUAGCCACAAAACUUAUACAUUUUGAGUUCAUUAUAUGUGCCAGGAAUAGUGCUAAGUGAUUUAUUUUACUUUAAUCUCGUUCUUUGUGGAAGUAAGUAAUCUUAUCACUGUAUCACAUUGAAGAAACUAAGAAAUUAGGUAAUUUAGUCAAGGUACACAGUUAUAUAUUAUUUCAAGUUGGACCUGGAAAAAUUAUGAUCAAGUAGAUCACAUACUAUUAAAUAAUGAUCAUUUCUAACAAACAGCUCUCAGUUUCAUGCUUUAAGUAAAUUAAC
rnacentral:lncRNA from 1 species